UCUCCGGAUGAAAACUUGACUCAAUGGCGAAUACUCCUGCAGGGAAAAUUGCUAUCCCAGCCCUGGCGACAACUGCUUACACUGCCAAACAACCCAAAAAGAGAAAGACGGACCUGUCUAAAAGACAGUCAAAGAGAGAGUCUGACAAUAAACGAAAUAAAACUCGAGUUAAUCUCGGAGAAGCGUUUCAGAGGUGGAGAGAACUUCGCGACAGGAUGGGCUUCAAACUGGAUUCACAGCUCGCAGUUUUCCUCAUCGACUGUUAUGAGAAGACGAGGCUAAAAUCUACACCACAGAAGGUUGGAUACGUUGCCAGACUGCCAGACCCAGCAGCAUCUAUCAUUCUGGCUGAAUCUCUCUGAUAGGUUGGCCACACACUGGUGUUACUGUUCCCUCGCUGCACUUUCAAGACACUGACUUGAAAAUAAGGGCCUGGAUGGACCUUUUGAACCCUUGAGUCACCCAGCUGGAGACAGUGUUUCUGUUGGCAGUGACCGCAGCGAGGAGGGUGAGGACCCACUCCAUGCACGAGAGCGUCUGCAGAGUCACGACAGACAAUGGAGGAACAGUCUGAACCCUGUUUUUGUCCCUGCUGAGGUACUUCACAAACUUCUCCUGGAAGCUGUGAACAAAGGAGUGGGUCUGGUCAUUGAUUUAUCACGGCAGAGAUAUAACAGAUGUUUUAAGUCUACGUGUCCUCACAGGAACACAGAACAGUUUGUUUUAAGAUAUUAUUCACUCUCUUUCUGAGACUAAAAUAGGUAAAUAGAUUAACUAGGCUCUGGAGGUGGAUUAGCAAUUAGCCAAGGCUAGCAAUCACUCUAGCUUGGCAUAAAGACAGGAAGUAGAGGAAAACUAGUUCUAUAAAUGUGGCUGUUACACCUUGCAGAUUUGCAAACACAAACAGAAAGGUAGAAAGAGCAGGUGCUGUAACCACUUCUCAGCAGACAGCCACAGAUUAUGUCAUCAUUGUGAGUUUGCCAGGAAACUCGUGUUAGUUCCAGCAGGUAUGCUAACUCCCUCACAACCCCUUUUUUUUUUUUUUUUACCAAUUUGUGUAUGUAUAAAAAAUGAGAUGUAAAAUAAUAAUUUGUGAGCUUUGGAGAGCCAGGCUAAUUAAUGCUAAGCUAUAUGUUAAUUCCUUCCAACAUACAGUUUUAUACUUAAUGCACAGACAUCAGAAUGGUAUCAUUUUCUGAGCUAAGUCUUUGGAAGAAAGCUUGAAAGCAUUUUCCUCAAAAUGUUGCACUAGUACUUAUUUUAAUAAGGCAACCAGAUUACAUAUGCGUCUUUGUGAGGUGGAUGUAUUCAUGUAGGGGAUAAUGUACAGCGAGCAGGUCAUUAUUGCAAAAUAAACCCUGACAGGGUGAUGCAAAGCCAUAAAAUCUGCAAUAAUGACCUGCUCACUGUACAGUAUCCCACUUAUUACCAGAUUUGGAAGUAACUUGUUACUGUAAUUCCACUACUUUGGGUGGUAACUAGUAAUGUAACUGAUUACUUCAAGUAAAUAACACAGUUAUAGUUGCAGAAAUGGGCUUUAUUACUUGUUACCUGACAUCUAAUGUCACCUGUAGUGAUGUGCGGCUCAGCCGAGAAGCAUUUAGUUCCUCCAUUGUGUGUAUGUGUGGGUCUGUUUCUGUAAGUCAUUAAUAAAUUUACGUUACUCGGAGUGCAACGGGACCCGCCAGUUAAUGUGCAAGAAUUAAAUAACAGUUAAUGUUACAAAGAAUACAUUUCAGUAUUUUUAUGUUUUUGUAGAUAACUUAGUAGUUUUAUUUCAUUAGGCAUAUCAUGAUAAAAAAUAACAGACAGAAGUCUGAGAAACAGUUGGUAUUUCAUUUUACUCGUCCAAAAGAGUCUUAAAACCUGACUAGUAUUGCUUAAUUUUUAAGACUGGUAAAGCUACAUUAACUAACCCUAUCAAAACAUGUGUUUAUUAUGUUUUAUUGUUCCUCUACUUACUUUUCAUCAUCGGGAUAAUGGGUACAAUCAUAGAUAGAAUCUGACAGUUGUCUUGUCCCACACUGCGCAACAGCAACACUAAAAUAAUAUAGGUAUGGGUACACACUGUUGACCGUCCCAAGAGUCAGAGCAAAACAUAGUGAAGCAGCGUUUUGUUAUCAUGCAGCACAAACCAUAACCUCCCAGAUGAUGUUAGACAAGCCCUGACUCUGAUUACUUUUAAGUCAAAGCCAAAAACAUUCCUUUUUUACACUGCCUACUCCACCCUGUAGUGACUGCAACAUGAUUUUAAAACUCAAUUUUAAAUCAUUUUAAAUAAUCUUUUUAUCUUUGCACUUCUUGUCUGCACUUUUGCUAUUUUUAAUGGCGAUUUUUUUAAAAUUGUAAAUCAUUUAUUAAUUGUAUCUUUUAUAUCUAUUUUUUCUUUACUCUUUUCUGUAUGUUUUAUUAUGUUUCAUAUAUAUAUAUUGCUCUGUAAAGCACUUUGAAUUGCUCUUGUGUAUGAAAUUUGCUAUUCAAAUAAAGCU